AUGGAGAGAGGGGGCUCCGAGGAUUUUAUAAGCGCUGGGAGGGGUGCUCAGGGUGGCGGGAUAAGCCUUAUCCCCGAAGGAGAGGUGCGGUGGUUGCGGGCGGCGGGCUCGUGCUCUAUCCCGAGCGGGAGAGGCGGGAGGUUGGGGACGACGGGGUGGGGCCCUCCUGCAGCGGGCGUUGCGUGUGAGCGAGAGGGAGAGGCGAGCGGGCGAGCGACGGGACGGCACUUCGGGCGCGGGAGCAGCCCGUGGGCCUUAAUGGCCGGCUGGGCCACAUGGUUUGCCCCUGGGCCGAAACCUAUUUCGGUCCAGGUGGCGCAAAUUACCCGCAUUGGGUCAGACCACGUGCCCCUGUUGCUCUCCAUGUCUGAUGAGCGCCCGGCCACACCUCCCAGGUUUCGGUUUGAGCUAUUUUGGCUAAACCAACCGGGCUCUGUGGACGCGGUGGCCGCUAGGUGGGUGGAGGCCCGGGAGAGCCCGCACAGGGUUGGGGUGCCAACCUUGGACGGGACCUCAGGGAGCAGAAAUCCGCUCUACUUAUGUCCAUUCAGGCUCUGGACGCUCAGGCAGAUUUCUGCGGGCUCUCCUCAGAUGAAUGGAUGUUGCGGUAUGAUCUCGAAGACCAGCUUUCGGUCAUCGACAUGGACGAGGAGGCCUAUUGGCACCAACGGGGCACCCAACGGUGGGUGCUCCGUGGGGAUGCCAACACAACCUACUUCUAGGCUAUCGCUAACGGUAGGCGUCAUCGUAACUCCAUCCACUGCCUCUGGGAUGGGGACACCAUCCUCCUACAUCCUGCGGAGAUCCGCGCUCAUGUCGACGUCUUCUAUAAUGCCCUCUUUUCCCCCUCUCCGAGGGGUGGACCUGAUGGCCCCCUUCAGGGAGGAGGAGGUUCGUGCUGUGAUUAAGGGCACGAAACCUUCCUCCGCUUCGGGUCAUGAUGGCCUGCCGGUGAAAUUCUUCUACACCUUUCGGCAGGCCAUCAAACCCGAGCCCCUUGCCUUCUGCCAGCGCUCGGGAGGAUCCCAGUUCUGGCAAGCCAUGGUCCAACUCAUGCCAGUCCUCUGCAUUGGCACGUCCAUCUCUGUGGGAUCUGGAUCCUCAACCCUGUUUUGGUUCGACCGUUGGGUUGGUGAUCUCCCCCUUGCCGCCCGCUUCCCUGAGUUGUUCGCUAUCACGGUUGAUCCUCAGAUCUCCGUGGAGGAUAUCCGCCUCCCUUUGAAGAUUAGGAUCUUUCUCUGGCAGUGGAUCCAUGGUCGCUUGCCCUCUGGUGUUGAGGUGCGAAAGCACAACGGGCCUGGCGACGGCCUCUGCCCCCUCUAUGGAGUAGUCGAAGAUGUUAACCACAUCUUUUUUCUCUUGCCCCUGAGCAGCCGCGCCGCCAAAGCUCACGAACCUUGCCGCCACCUCGACUCCUCCGUGUCCGGUGCGCCGCUGGAGCAUCCGUCGCCUACCGGUGAGCUCACCAGGACAUCAGGACAUCGCCGGCAUGCGGAACAAAGCCGCCCCAACUGGAUCCACGCCUCCGCCAUAGCCCGCUCUCCCGCCAUCCUUCCUCACCUCGAAUUGGUCGCGCCGCACCCUAUGCCUUGCCACAUCGCGCCUCUCACCGUCGAGGGCGGCAGGAACGACGGAGUCGUGCAUGUGUCGGCUCCUAUGUGGUGCGUGCGGAGCCACCGGCUCGCGGAACGGCUGCAGGCCUGGAGCGCCCCUGCCUCGAGCGGCACGCAUGCAUGGUUGGUGGUCGAGACAUCAGAGGAGCUUCAGCAGGUGGCGUUGAUCCAAAAUUACUCCUUCCAGUACAACGUUCCCCAAUGCAAAAGAAACAAGGCCGCCGAGCCAAAUUUUCUGAACCAGGCUGCCAAGUUUGAGUUCUCCUUUCUAGAGUCUCUUUUGCGUCAUGGUAUAUCUGUUAUCGAGAAUGAUGCUCAGAAAAUUCUUCGUUCCAUGCCAAAUGACAUUUUGUUUCAACUUGAUAACACUAGAUAUUCUGCUAAUGAUAGGAAGCGUGGUUUAAAACUGCUCUGGCUAGAGUUAUCUGGACUAAGAUCAUAUGGGUUCGGCCGUGCAUGUCCAUACACAGUGCAUCGGGUUAAUGUGCCUGAAGCUCUCUUCCUCGCGUUGGGGAAUUCAGAUGGUUAUCAGAAUCAAUUGGGGCAUGCUAUCAACAACAUCACUAUUCACAUGGUUGAGGUGGAAAAGCAGCUAAGCCAGACGGUGACCUCGCCCUGGAGAUGGAGGCGAGCCGCAGAGGGCCUUGCUACGACAUUGUGA
rnacentral:rRNA from 1 species